AUUUUCAACAUUUUUCCCCACCCUCUUUUCCCCUUUUUUCUCCCCCCGCACAGUGGUUCUUCUAGUGGCGAUUUCGUUCGGCGGCCGCGAGCGGCGCCGCUCCGCUGGACUAGGAGCUACACGCGAGAGGCGCGCGUCGCGGGAUCCCCCGAGCGGCGGCGUGGUUGUCGUCGUUUUUCUCAGCGGCGGCGAAAGGAGCGCACUGUUGAUAUCAUGAAUUCAAAUGAGGACGAAGUACCAGGGGGAGCCCCCGAAGAAGAUAAAUCUACAGAUUUAAUUCCCAACACAGUAGACGAAAACCACUGGCAGUCCAAAACCCAUCAGCUGAAAAUGCAGGAGCAGCUGUCCGAGAGGCUGUAACGUGUCGCAGGUGUCAACGCCAAGGUCCAGUGUAGGUGUCCCAGGAGCACGGGGCAAGAGGCAUUAAUGAACACAAUUGAGGAAGAAGAAGCAGCAGGCUGAAAUUGUAGACUUAGUGCAUCGUCGCAAGAGGCGCAGUGCACGGGGAUGGGCAACUUUCAAUCAGAGAACCUUAGGGAAGGACAACAAAUGUUGUUAACAACACGCUGCAGGUUCAAACUCUGAUCCCAUGCCUUUUAGAAUUAAAAUCACUUGAUUAGUUCAAUUUUCUUGCUUAACUAAUUCUUGGCUUUUGUUAAUUAUUAAUGUACUGGAGUCAAACUGUCCAAUCUGAUCUCCUUGCACCACUAAAUGCUUGUUUGCAUUUGUAUUAUCAUUACGGGAUUCGCCAAAACCACCUUCAUUAUGUUGUGCAUCUUUGCUUGGCAUGGACUGUGGUGCAGUAUGACAGGUGCUUUUUCUACAAUGGAUAUGUACAUGUGGCAGAAAUAAAAUGGAAGCAAAAAACAGUAGGUGCAAUGCACGGAAUGAAAGAGCAAUAUACUUUGUUGGGGGCUGCAGGCAUAAGACCAAGGGGCCAAAUCUAGCAAGAUUAGGGAAGGAAAAAGCAAGGUUUAAAUUAAACAGUUGAAUGAUCUUUGAAGCAUGUGGUGGUGCGGUGGACUGUUUCUUUUGGAUGUAGCAUUGUGUCAAUUUUUCUCAGGAGCUUUUCUAUCCAUGGAAUACUGUUUUUGUAUGUGUCAAUUCUAAUGCUUCUUCCUCUAUGCAUGAUACCUUCUUGUAUGCUUUUUAUGAGUUGCUUUUCUACAUGUUAUAUCUUGCCUAGUCCUUUCUGUAUGUUUUUUUGUUGAUAAAAACAUGGCUUCUGGAGGCAUGCCCAGUUUAUUUUCCUGACCACAAAGAAUUCUGGGGGUGCAGGAUCAUGAGUACAUGCAACAUGAUAGCAAAACAAAAGAGAUGUGGUGUUGUGGGUUAGUUUUUUCCGCAACAAUUUAACAAACCCCUAAGUAACUUUUACUUUAGAGUUUCCUAGGGGUUUUGAGCAACAAUUUGUUGGUCGGGAGGAGGAAGAAGUGCUACAGGGGUAUCCACAUGACAAGCUUCUUUGAAGACCUACAGCAAAUUUUCGGGUAUGAAGGGAGGAAACUCCUGGUGCUUCAAGCAAGAUUCAUGGAGGUCAGGGUCAUGCGGCGUCUACAGGAGAGGUAUUACAGUCUUGUCCGGUGUGUGGAAAGAUUAUCUCUGCUUGCGUGCUGAAGAGGCCGAGGCGCUCGCCUGUCUGCUGGAGUUGGAGGCGUGUGUUGGUAAUGUUCGUGGCCCCCUGGUAAUCAAAGGGGACUACGUGAAUACGUGAUGGUGGCAGAUACUAACACAACACUUAGGAGAUUGCCAGUUGUUUGAAAUCGUUCCGGACUAUCAAGUCAUAAUCGUGUCGCGCAUGGAUUGGCGCAUUAUUGCUGGAACUGGUAGCUACAAGUAGUGGUUUUUGUGGCACCUGCCUGUGCUUUCCGAUCCAUAAAAAAUGUCGUUCAUUUUGUACUGAGUUAGUACUCCUUCCGAUCCAUAUUAAUUGUCGAAAUAUUACAUGUAUCUAAACGUUUUUUAGAUAUAGAAAAAAGUGUCGUUCAUUUUGUAUC